rnacentral:rRNA from 1 species
GUCUCAGGCCGUAUCAGCCUGAAGGCGCCCGAUCUCGUCUGAUCUCGGAAGACUGAGCAGGGUCGGGCCUGGUUAGUAUCUUGGAUGGGAGACCACCUUGGGAAUCCCGGGUGCUCGAGGCU